rnacentral:rRNA from 1 species
GACGAACGCUGGCGGCGUGCUUAACACAUGCAAGUCGAACGAUGAAGCCGGAGCUUGCUCCGGUGGAUUAGUGGCGAACGGGUGAGUAACACGUGAGCAAUCUGCCCUUGACGCUGGGAUAACUGCGGGAAACUGUAGCUAAUACCGGAUACGACACCUUGGGGCAUCCCAGGGUGUGGAAGGAAUUUCGGUCAAGGAUGAGCUCGCGGCCUAUCAGCUAGUUGGUGAGGUAAUGGCUCACGAAGGCGACGACGGGUAGCCGGCCUGAGAGGGUGACCGGCCACACUACAACUGAGACACGGUCCAGACUCCUACGGGAGGCAGCAGUGGGGAAUAUUGCACAAUGGGCGAAAGCCUGAUGCAGCAACGCCGCGUGAGGGAUGAAGGCCUUCGGGUUGUAAACCUCUUUUAGCAGGGAAGAAGCGAAAGUGACGGUACCUGCAGAAAAAGCACCGGCUAACUACGUGCCAGCCGCCGCCGUAA